AAAAAAAAAAAAAACAAGAAGGAAAGAAAGAUUAACUCAGAACCUAAUGCGGGCAGAGGAUUCUACCAGGUCCCUGGGGACCAUGCAGAUUGAUUAGUUUUAGUCUCUACCCACCAAGAAUUUACAAUCAAGACAGAAAUAUUUGAAAAUAUGCAAAGACCCAUCUGUCUUUGGCUUUACUCAUUUCCUGAGAUAUAUAGGAAGAGAGGUGUUUUGAAAGUCGGUAACAUUUCACUUCUCUAUUGAAGAGCUUCAAGUCGGUGGGAAAAUCUUAAAAUCUGAAAUCUAAGGGUAAGCGAGAUCUUCUAAGGAAUUAACUCAUGAAGUUUUGGAGGCUGAGAAGCCCGAGAUCUUCAGCAGUUCAUGGAGUUUUGGAGACUUGCCAACUUGACCGGCGGGCACGGUUGGGGCAUCCCAGGACUUCUGGCUCUUUCUGCAUCAACCAGCCCAUCUCUCCUGGGCAUAAGCUAUGAAACGAACCACCUUUGUACCUAGAGCAACUUCUUUGGAGGAAAAGGGAGGCUGGAAUUUCAGAGUGUGGCUAAAUAAUGCAGAAAUGCGAGGGCCCCACUCUGACCCCGCGGACAGCCUUGAAGAUUCAUCCUACCGGGAUUGCGUCCCUCUGCCUCCCUUCCACGAUUUCACACAGUUCCAAGCGCGUGUCUUGCACACCCUUGUGCUCCGGGCCCCGGAGGGAGGCAGAGAGGAGAAAGCUCCAUGUUGGAGGCUCCGUUCUCUCACUCUUUGCUGUGCAACCCCAAGCAACUUGUGUCUUCUCUUUGCUGAGGCCGAAACCAGAAUGACUGCUACGAAGUAGGAAGCUAACCAACCAGAUACAUAACCUUGAAACUCCUAGACGAAAUUUCACGGGAGACUUAAUGCUUGUGUUAACAGUCUUCCAGAAGUCUUGUUCCAGUCCGAGGACAGCUUCUAAAAUUUUGACUGCCGUCUGUUUGGCAAACAUAGACUGGAUAGUUGAGCAAGGCGCAACACGAGGAUAAUGUCUGGGAACUUGUUAGAAAUGCGCAUUCGCGGGCCCCAGGCCCACUGAUUCGGAAGCUCAGGCCACGGGGCCCAGGAGUCUGUGUUUUCACUGCCAUCUGUGGGAUUCUGGCACGCGCCGAUGGCUGUUUUCCAUAAUUUCCGCAUUUCCGGGCCGUGUCGUUUUACUGAAUUGUUUAUUCUAUGUAACAUUUGGUGACAAGUCCUCUGACUGACUUCCCUAUAGAGUUUGGAUUUUCAAGCAUGACCCCCACUGCUGGAACCCCAUGCCACAAGCGCUCUCCAACUUGACAACAUCGUAAGCCAUUUUCCCGGGAGCACCUUAAAAAUGUGGUUUCCCCCAAAGACGCGAAGGCUGUCAUAAAGGAGGAGGACAAAGUUCCAUCAGACAGUGUGCAAGACAGGCCGAUGUGCAGAUUAUUUAUGAAUUACGGCAUUACGGUAUUUACCUGCUCCGUGGUUAUACAUGUGCCGGUCAGGACGAGAGAAUACAUUAUGUGCACGGCAGUGUCAGGACACAGAUGAGCUAAGUCGUAUGUAGAAAUGUCCCUUCUCCAGGGACAGCAUGAUCACUUAAGUGCUGCGGGGUGUCAGCCGCCUUUUGGGGGCCCUGCCCCCAAAUGAAGAAUGAAGAAGCAAUGUUGUGCUGGACAAAGUGAGAACCCCCUGCUGGUAUUGGCCGCGGUGGGAGAAUUUACACCGUGGAGACUGACAAAUGCUAGAAAUGAGGGCUUUAAACAUUUUUGAUUUUUGAGGGUGGGUUUACCAGCAGGCCACCGGAUUUAGGAGCAUAUGGAGCUUCAAGGUGGGUCCCAUUCACUAAGGUCCUCUCCUCUGGAAUAGCAGUGUUUGAAAUACUAUUGGUUUCAGGAUCAA